UACGUAGGGGGCAAGCGUUAUCCGGAUUUACUGGGUGUAAAGGGAGCGUAGGCGGCUUAGUAAGUCAGAAGUGAAAGCCCGCAGCUCAACUGCGGUACUGCCGUUGAAACUGCAUCCCUUGAGUGCGCGAGAAGUAUGCGGAAUGCGUGGUGUAGCGGUGAAAUGCAUAGAUAUCACGCAGAACUCCGAUUGCGAAGGCAGCUCACUGGACUGCAACUGACACUGAGGCUCGAAAGUGUGGGUAUCAAACAGG
rnacentral:rRNA from 1 species